GACGAACGCUGGCGGCGCGCCUAACACAUGCAAGUCGAACGAGCGAGAGAGAGCUUGCUUUCUCGAGCGAGUGGCGAACGGGUGAGUAACGCGUGAGGAACCUGCCUCAAAGAGGGGGACAACAGUUGGAAACGACUGCUAAUACCGCAUAAGCCCACGGUGCCGCAUGGCACAGAGGGAAAAGGAGCAAUCCGCUUUGAGAUGGCCUCGCGUCCGAUUAGCUAGUUGGUGAGGUAACGGCCCACCAAGGCGACGAUCGGUAGCCGGACUGAGAGGUUGAACGGCCACAUUGGGACUGAGACACGGCCCAGACUCCUACGGGAGGCAGCAGUGGGGAAUAUUGCACAAUGGGGGAAACCCUGAUGCAGCGACGCCGCGUGGAGGAAGAAGGUCUUCGGAUUGUAGACUCCUGUUGUUGGGGAAGAUAAUGACGGUACCCAACAAGGAAGUGACGGCUAACUACGUGCCAGCAGCCGCGGUAAAACGUAGGUCACAAGCGUUGUCCGGAAUUACUGGGUGUAAAGGGAGCGCAGGCGGGAAGACAAGUUGGAAGUGAAAUCUAUGGGCUCAACCCAUAAACUGCUUUCAAAACUGUUUUUCUUGAGUAGUGCAGAGGUAGGCGGAAUUCCCGGUGUAGCGGUGGAAUGCGUAGAUAUCGGGAGGAACACCAGUGGCGAAGGCGGCCUACUGGGCACCAACUGACGCUGAGGCUCGAAAGUGUGGGUAGCAAACAGGAUUAGAUACCCUGGUAGUCCACACCGUAAACGAUGAUUACUAGGUGUUGGAGGAUUGACCCCUUCAGUGCCGCAGUUAACACAAUAAGUAAUCCACCUGGGGAGUACGACCGCAAGGUUGAAACUCAAAGGAAUUGACGGGGGCCCGCACAAGCAGUGGAGUAUGUGGUUUAAUUCGACGCAACGCGAAGAACCUUACCAAGUCUUGACAUCCCUUGACAGACAUAGAAAUAUGUAAUCUCUUCGGAGCAAGGAGACAGGUGGUGCAUGGUUGUCGUCAGCUCGUGUCGUGAGAUGUUGGGUUAAGUCCCGCAACGAGCGCAACCCUUAUGGUCAGUUACUACGCAAGAGGACUCUGGCCAGACUGCCGUUGACAAAACGGAGGAAGGUGGGGAUGACGUCAAAUCAUCAUGCCCUUUAUGACUUGGGCUACACACGUACUACAAUGGCGUUAAACAAAGAGAAGCAAGACCGCGAGGUGGAGCAAAACUCAGAAACAACGUCCCAGUUCGGACUGCAGGCUGCAACUCGCCUGCACGAAGUCGGAAUUGCUAGUAAUCGUGGAUCAGCAUGCCACGGUGAAUACGUUCCCGGGCCU
rnacentral:rRNA from 1 species